rnacentral:rRNA from 1 species
CGCGUAGGCGGUCCUUUAAGUCAGAUGUGAAAGCCCGGGGCUCAACCCCGGAAGUGCAUUUGAAACUAAGGGACUUGAGUAUGGGAGAGGGAAGUGGAAUUCCUGGUGUAGCGGUGAAAUGCGUAGAUAUCAGGAGGAACACCGGUGGCGAAGGCGACUUCCUGGACCAAUACUGACGCUCAGGCGCGAAGGCAUGGGGAGCAAACA